GAUUUUCUCCAGACUGGAAUGUUCAAAAAUGCUAAAAAUGUACCUGAAAUGUUCAGAAGAGUUUGAGGAUCAUAAAAACGUGCACGAAAUUCACAUUCCUAACUAUAGAACCAAGACCUUAGCAUAUGUGGUGAAAUUCUGAGUUAUGCCCAUAGACUUCAAUGGAGCAGUCGCUGCCUCUGCUCUGCAUAAAGGGGGAUUUUGACCCCCUCUCGUGCGAUCCGGGUUCCCGGAAGUGGCUCCUGAUGAAAUAUCUUGCUCCGCCUUAACAAUCUUUGGUUCUAUCUUCAGUAGAUUCAAUAUCCAAUCAAAACCCUGAAUGAACACAGACGGACCAAUCAAAUCCCACCUCUUAGCUCUGUAGCCUGGACACAGAGCUUAUGGCUGGACAUUAGCCUGCCCUGGACAUCUGAAGCCGGCGAUGGUGAUCAAAAGACUUAAAUGUACAGACACCACUAGAAGAGAUCGAAAUGAUGAUAGUGGUGGAAGUCCUCCAAAGGGAGUGGGAGCAGCAAAGAAGACAGUAUCUAGUGGUGGGUACUUCUAUAGAUGGGUGGAAUUUCUAUGGUAUUUACCGUGCCUUUGUUUGUAAAAUACCCAAACUAUGUUAUCGGUGUCAUAAAACAAAAUAAUAAACUGACACAUUAUUAUAAUAUUGGAUCAUGUAAUAAUAAAGAAUUUUUAGCUUC